UAGCUCAGUUGGUAGAGCAUGGCACUUGCAAUGCAGAGUAUUGGGUUCGAUUCCCGG
rnacentral:tRNA from 1 species